rnacentral:rRNA from 1 species
UACGUAGGGGCCGAGCGUUGUCCGGAGUUAUUGGGCGUAAAGCGCGCGCAGGCGGCCUCGCGCGCCCGACGUGAAAGCCCCCGGCUUAACCCGGGGAGGGUCGUUGGGGACGGCGGGGCUUGAGGGCGGGAGAGGUCGGUGGAAUUCCCGGUGUAGUGGUGAAAUGCGUAGAGAUCGGGAGGAACACCUGUGGCGAAGGCGGCCGACUGGGCCGACCCUGACGCUGAGGCGCGAAGGCGUGGGGGAGCGAACGGG